rnacentral:rRNA from 1 species
AUUGAACGCUGGCGGCAGGCUUAACACAUGCAAGUCGAGCGGGGUGAUGGUGCUUGCACUAUCACUUAGCGGCGGACGGGUGAGUAAUGCUUAGGAAUCUGCCUAUUAGUGGGGGACAACAUCUCGAAAGGGAUGCUAAUACCACAUACGUCCUACGGGAGAAAGCAGGGGAUCACUUGUGACCUUGCGCUAAUAGAUGAGCCUAAGUCGGAUUAGCUAGUUGGUGGGGUAAAGGCCUACCAAGGCGACGAUCUGUAGCGGGUGUGAGAGGAUGAUCCGACACACUGGGACUGAGACACGGCCCAGACUCCUACGGGAGGCAGCAGUGGGGAAUAUUGGACAAUGGGGGGAACCCUGAUCCAGCCAUGCCGCGUGUGUGAAGAAGGCCUUAUGGUUGUAAAGCACUUUAAGCGAGGAGGAGGCUCUUUUGGUUAAUACCCAAGAUGAGUGGACGUUACUCGCAGAAUAAGCACCGGCUAACUCUGUGCCAGCCGCCGCUGUAA